rnacentral:tRNA from 2 species
CGGGCUGUAGUGUAACGGCUAGCACGAGUCCUUUGGGAGGAUUUAGUCCGAGUUCGAAUCUCGGCAGCCCGACCA